GCCUGCCCAGUGACUACGGGUUCAACGGCCGCGGUAUAUUGACCGUGCAAAGGUAGCGCAAUCACUUGUCUUUUAAAUAGAGACCUGUAUGAAUGGCUAGACGAGGGCUUAACUGUCUCCCCCUUCCAGUCAGUGAAAUUGAUCUAUCCGUGCAGAAGCGGGUAUAAUACUACAAGACGAGAAGACCCUUUGGAGCUUAAGGUACAAAAUUCAGCCACGUUAAGCAACUCAGUAGAAAGCAAGAACUUAGUGGCCAUGAAGUUUUACCUUCGGUUGGGGCGACCACGGAGGAAAAGCAAGCCUCCGAGUGGACCGGGCCAAAAUCCCUAAAGCCAAAAGAGACAUCUUUAAGCCGCAGAACAUCUGACCAAUAAUGAUCCGGCUAAAAAGCCGAUCAACGGACCAAGUUACCCUAGGGAUAACAGCGCAAUCCUCUCCCAGAGACCAUAUCUACGAGGGGGUUUACGACCUCGAUGU
rnacentral:rRNA from 1 species